rnacentral:rRNA from 1 species
AGAGUUUGAUCCUGGCUCAGGAUGAACGCUAGCGGCAGGCCUAAUACAUGCAAGUCGAACGGGAUUUAAGUAGCAAUACUUAAUGAGAGUGGCGCACGGGUGCGUAACGCGUAUGCAACCUACCUUUAACAGGGGGAUAGCUCCGAGAAAUCGGGAUUAAUACCCCAUAGUAUUAUUGACUGGCAUCGAUUAAUAAUUAAAGCUCCGGCGGUUAAAGAUGGGCAUGUGUGCCAUUAGCUAGUUGGUGAGGUAACGGCUCACCAAGGCAACGAUGGCUAGGGGUUCUGAGAGGAUUAUCCCCCACACUGGUACUGAGACACGGACCAGACUCCUACGGGAGGCAGCAGUAAGGAAUAUUGGGCAAUGGACGCAAGUCUGACCCAGCCAUGCCGCGUGCAGGAAGACGGCCCUAUGGGUUGUAAACUGCUUUUAUCAGGGAAUAAACCCCCGGAUGUAUCCGGGGCUGAAUGUACCUGAAGAAUAAGCAUCGGCUAACUCCGUGCCAGCAGCCGCGGUAAUACGGAGGAUGCAAGCGUUAUCCGGAUUCAUUGGGUUUAAAGGGUGCGCAGGCGGAUUAUUAAGUCAGUGGUGAAAUCCUACAGCUCAACUGUAGAAACUGCCAUUGAUACUGAUAAUCAUUGAGUGUAUUUGAAGUGGGCGGAAUGUACCAUGUAUCGGUUGAAAUGCCAUAGAUAUGCUACCAGAAACCACCAAUUUGCGAAGGGCAGCUCACUAAACUACAAACCUGACGCUCAUGCACGAAAGCCGUGGGGAUCCAAACUGGAUUAGAUACCCUGGUAGUCCACGCUGUAAACGAUGAUUACUCGUCGUUGGCGACACACAGUCAGCGACCAAGCGAAAGUGAUAAGUAAUCCACCUGGGGAGUACGAUCGCAAGGUUGAAACUCAAAGGAAUUGACGGGGGCCCGCACAAGCGGUGGAGCAUGUGGUUUAAUUCGAUGCAACGCGAAGAACCUUACCAGCCCUUGACAUGUAGCGAACUUUCUAGAGAUAGAUUGGUGCCUUCGGGAACGCUAACACAGGUGCUGCAUGGCUGUCGUCAGCUCGUGUCGUGAGAUGUUGGGUUAAGUCCCGUAACGAGCGCAACCCUUGUCCUUAGUUGCCAGCACUUCGGGUGGGGACUCUAAGGAGACUGCCGGUGACAAACCGGAGGAAGGUGGGGAUGACGUCAAGUCAUCAUGGCCCUUAUGGGCUGGGCUACACACGUGCUACAAUGGUCAGUACAGAGGGUCGCCAAGCCGUAAGGUGGAGCUAAUCUCACAAAGCUGAUCGUAGUCCGGAUUGAGGUCUGCAACUCGACCUCAUGAAGUCGGAAUCGCUAGUAAUCGCGAAUCAGAAUGUCGCGGUGAAUACGUUCCCGGGCCUUGUACACACCGCCCGUCACACCAUGGGAGUGGGUUGCAAAAGAAGUAGGUAGCUUAACCUUCGGGAGGGCGCUUACCACUUUGUGAUUCAUGACUGGGGUGAAGUCGUAACAAGGUAGCCGUA